UUUUGAACUGUUCCCAAUAAAGCCACAGGGCAAGAUGAUAUUUUUUUCCUUGUAUCAUCACAAAUCAACAAAAAACACCGUGCAUUCCAAAUCUUAUUUUACAAGUAAAGGACUCAAUACCACUAAAUUCGUCCCUAAAAUUCGAGAUGUCAAUCAAUGCAACAAAAUACCCAAUAUAAUGAGUUUACAGAGGAAACUAGUCAUCGAUAUAUUUGGAGCCAUUUGGAUAUAAGCUGGAACUAACAAUGUUGGAUAUCGAAGCGUAAUGCUCCUAUAUACUCAAAAUCAAUGACUUCAAUGCAAUCGACGUCUCAUGCACAAACAAACAUUGCGCAAAUUAUGUAUCAUCACCUUGCAAUCAAGUCAAAUUUUGCAAAAUCAACUUCUUCUAUUUUGCAAUCAUAGUCACCCCCACUAAAGAAAAAAUGCAAGGAGUUGUCAUUUCCAAGUCAUAUUUGAGGUCCAGAGAGUCCACUUAUCACUAAAAAUGGCUCAGUAAAUAAGCCUUUCAACAAUUUUAACGUCAUAAAGGUAAUGAAUGCUGUAUAUCAUUUAACAAUGUCUGCGAAUUCAGAACUCGGGUAAUUUANUUUCAACAAUUUUAACGUCAUAAAGGUAAUGAAUGCUGUAUAUCAUUUAACAAUGUCUGCGAAUUCAGAACUCGGGUAAUUUAAUAAGGGUAUACCAUGAAAUCUUGAAUAGUUAUUCCACUAAGGAAUCACAGAAACCAUGCGACUAUUGAAAAAGCAAGAAUUCGAUGAGUU
rnacentral:lncRNA from 1 species